AACGAACGCUGGCGGCAUGCCUAACACAUGCAAGUCGAACGAUUGCCUUCGGGUGAUAGUGGCGCACGGGUGCGUAACGCGUGGGAAUCUGCCCUUAGGUUCGGAAUAACAGCUGGAAACGGCUGCUAAUACCGGAUGAUAUCGCGAGAUCAAAGAUUUAUCGCCUGAGGAUGAGCCCGCGUUGGAUUAGGUAGUUGGUGGGGUAAAGGCCUACCAAGCCGACGAUCCAUAGCUGGUCUGAGAGGAUGAUCAGCCACACUGGGACUGAGACACGGCCCAGACUCCUACGGGAGGCAGCAGUGGGGAAUAUUGGACAAUGGGCGCAAGCCUGAUCAAGCAAUGCCGCGUGAGUGAUGAAGGCCCUAGGGUUGUAAAGCUCUUUUACCCGGGAAGAUAAUGACUGUACCGGGAGAAUAAGCCCCGGCUAACUCCGUG
rnacentral:rRNA from 1 species